rnacentral:lncRNA from 1 species
UAAAGCCUCAAUUUGACCUCCUUACCAAUUGAGUUGAAAUCAACAAAAGGACGAAAUCUAAAGGAAUCAGUUCUUUGUCAACAGUCCUUCAAAUCUUAUAUUACGUGGCUUCAGCAGGGACAACACACACCCACCACAGAUGUAGAUGACAACCAACUGAAAAAUAGAAGAACAAUGGACAAACCCAAAGCAUAUGGCAACCAAAGCAGAUUCAAUUCUAGGAUGAUAAUUUUAUACCGCAGCUGAAACUAAAAACACUUAGUUGGGCAUAAUCAUAAAUAGUAAGCAUUACCGAGUUCUUUCAUUCCAAAAGGAUUUUUCAAUUCUCUGUAUCUGGAUUUCAAAUCAGCACAAAUCAGAACUGAAGCCUAACCAUUCUGUCAGCUUCUUGCAUUCCCACAUGUCAAUACCAAAAUACAUGCCAUAAACACAUAUCGAACACAUAACCUCCGACCACAAAUUAUAACAGCAGUUAGUCAGUACUCGGUACAUAAGAUGCAAGCAAAUAGUUCAUAGUUGAACAUUAGAAUCAUAAAAAUUCAUUCAGAAGACAUCAAAGUUUAGAAAAAUUAUGAGCAGUCUUUCACCAGGUAAACCAAGCACUGCAAUCCUCUGUCCAAGCAGGGACAAGUAGAAUGUAAAUCAUAUCACAACUGCAAGGCAGCAACUGGUCGUUACAUUUAGGAUUUGGCUACAAAGCAUUUCAACCGACAUAAAACUUGGAAUUGAACGGUUAUCUAUCCACUGCAAACAUACUGCCGAGAUUGAUGAACUUGACGAGGCAUAACGCAACUUGUAUCAGCUGGCAUCUUGUUCCUGUUACAUCCUGUAUGUGUCCAUGAUUAGUUUAAUCAUUCACAGUCCCACACUAGGACCCCGUUAAGGAUAUUAAAUUAAGAAAUAUGUUACGAUGCAAGGUGGAGCAGAGGGGCAACUAGAAUGGCAAUAUGAGUAUCUUUAUAUACAUGCCAACGAUAUAUUCUGCAACUGGUGUCAGCCAUUCCAGAUUCCCCUCUAGGACUUUCACUUUACAGGAUAGAGCGGCAGCUUUCGAACAUAUGGAAUUCUUUGAGUUGGAGCAGAAGGGCAACUGGAAUGUCUAUAUGAUUAUUCUCCAUAGACAGGCCAACGAUGUAUUCUGGAACCAGUGUAAGCCAUUCCAGUGUUCCCCUCUAGGACUCCACUUUAGGACUUUCAUUUUACCGAUACAGCAGCAGCUUACCAACAUAUGUAUUUCUUUGAGUUGGAGCAGAAGGGCAACUGGAAUGUCUAUAUGAUUAUUCUCCAUAGACAGGCCAACGAUGUAUUCUGGAACCAGUGUAAGCCAUUCCAGUGUUCCCCUCUAGGACUCCACUUUAGGACUUUCAUUUUACCGAUACAGCAGCAGCUUACCAACAUAUGUAUUCCUUUGACUUGGAGCAGAAGGGCAACUGGAAUGUCUAUAUGAUUAUUCUCCAUAGACAGGCCAACGAUGUAUUCUGGAACCAGUGUAAGCCAUUCCAGUGUUCCCCUCUAGGACUCCACUUUAGGACUUUCAUUUUACCGAUACAGCAGCAGCUUACCAACAUAUGUAUUCCUUUGACUUGGAGCAGAAGGGCAACUGGAAUGUCUAUAUGAUUAUUCUCCAUAGACAGGCCAACGAUGUAUUCUGGAACCAGUGUAAGCCAUUCCAGUGUUCCCCUCUAGGACUCCACUUUAGGACUUUCAUUUUACCGAUACAGCAGCAGCUUACCAACAUAUGUAUUCCUUUGACUUGGAGCAGAAGGGCAACUGGAAUGUCUAUAUGAUUAUUCUCCAUAGACAGGCCAACGAUGUAUUCUGGAACCAGUGUAAGCCAUUCCAGUGUUCCCCUCUAGGACUCCACUUUAGGACUUUCAUUUUACCGAUACAGCAGCAGCUUACCAACAUAUGUAUUCCUUUGACUUGGAGCAGAAGGGCAACUGGAAUGUCUAUAUGAUUAUUCUCCAUAGACAGGCCAACGAUGUAUUCUGGAACCAGUGUAAGCCAUUCCAGUGUUCCCCUCUAGGACUCCACUUUAGGACUUUCAUUUUACCGAUACAGCAGCAGCUUACCAACAUAUGUAUUCCUUUGACUUGGAGCAGAAGGGCAACUGGAAUGUCUAUAUGAUUAUUCUCCAUAGACAGGCCAACGAUGUAUUCUGGAACCAGUGUAAGCCAUUCCAGUGUUCCCCUCUAGGACUCCACUUUAGGACUUUCAUUUUACCGAUACAGCAGCAGCUUACCAACAUAUGUAUUCCUUUGACUUGGAGCAGAAGGGCAACUGGAAUGUCUAUAUGAUUAUUCUCCAUAGACAGGCCAACGAUGUAUUCUGGAACCAGUGUAAGCCAUUCCAGUGUUCCCCUCUAGGACUCCACUUUAGGACUUUCAUUUUACCGAUACAGCAGCAGCUUACCAACAUAUGUAUUCCUUUGACUUGGAGCAGAAGGGCAACUGGAAUGUCUAUAUGAUUAUUCUCCAUAGACAGGCCAACGAUGUAUUCUGGAACCAGUGUAAGCCAUUCCAGUGUUCCCCUCUAGGACUCCACUUUAGGACUUUCAUUUUACCGAUACAGCAGCAGCUUACCAACAUAUGUAUUUCUUUGAGUUGGAGCAGAAGGGCAACUGGAAUGUCUAUAUGAUUAUUCUCCAUAGACAGGCCAACGAUGUAUUCUGGAACCAGUGUAAGCCAUUCCAGUGUUCCCCUCUAGGACUCCACUUUAGGACUUUCAUUUUACCGAUACAGCAGCAGCUUACCAACAUAUGUAUUCCUUUGACUUGGAGCAGAAGGGCAACUGGAAUGUCUAUAUGAUUAUUCUCCAUAGACAGGCCAACGAUGUAUUCUGGAACCAGUGUAAGCAAUUCCAGUGUUCCCCUCUAGGACUCCACUUUAGGACUUUCACUUUACUGAAUACAGCAGCAGCUUACCAACAUAUGUAUUCCUUUGACUUGGAGCAGAAGGGCAACUGGAAUGUCUAUAUGAUUAUUCUCCAUAGACAGGCCAACGAUGUAUUCUGGAACCAGUGUAAGCCAUUCCAGUGUUCCCCUCUAGGACUCCACUUUAGGACUUUCACUUUACAGGAUAGAGCAACUCGAAUGUAAAAAUAUGAUCACUCCCAAUAGCUAAAACCUCGAGCUGGAUACAAGGGACACUGAUAAUUCAAUAGCAAAAGCCAUGUUUGCAUUAUGAAGGUGUAGAGUGAGUAAGAAAAAUCAAAGUGAGAUAAGAAGAAGAAAGAGUGCAGGGUGUUCUAUGAGUGAGGGCAAGGAAAGGUCUAAGUGAUCAAAUUGUAAUACUAGCGCCCCAACAACAAUAACACUAAGCAGCCAGAUUGUCACAGGCAGUAUGGUAUGCGCAUAAUAGGUGCAUUAUCAAGUUCCUAGAGAGGAAAUGCAAUAACCAAAAGUAAUUUGAGGGAAAAAAACUACUUAAGGAGAUUAGAGAUAGAAGCUGACCGUGAAACUAGAAGCCAUUUGUAGGACUAGAGAUCCUCGAAACCAUGAUCAAACUAAUUAGGACCCAGGCGACAUUUCAAGAGGACUACCAGCAACAUCGAUCGAAUCAGAUGUGAGAAUACAGUUUCGGAGGAAACAUCACGCCUCCCAACUUGAUUUAAUUGGAACCGAAUACCGCCAUAAAUCAUCCAACUCGCAGAAUCCAUCGGUGAUCACGUUCCACGAACCAGUUAGGGUUCCGGCGACCUUUCAAGAAGACAACCACCAAUAACGAUCGGAUAAUCAGUGAGACUACGGUCCAAUUAGGACUCCGAAGACCUUCCAUCGCGACAAGGACAACCACCAUCAGCGAUAGAUUAAGACUUGAGGCUACAGUCGAAUUGGGCUCCGGCGACCUCUAAGAGGAAUAACACCAACAACGAUCGCAUAAGAUGUUAGACUAAGGUCCAAUUAGAGCUCCGACAACCUUUCAAGAUGACAACCACCAACAACAAUCGAAUAAGAAGCAAGACUACGGUUCGUAGAGAUCAGAAAAAAAGUUAAAAUCGCAAAACGAAAACCGCCAAUACUUACAGUGAAACAGAAGAUCUCCGGCGUCAUAACACCGGAAGAUCAAUCGCCGCAAAAUUGGAACUCGAAACUCGAAGAACGGAAUAAGAGUAGAACAAGACUUGCUCGAAUCUAAAUUGGCAGAACGGUUACCUCUUGGUAUAUAGGUGUGGGGCGAGUCGGUUUUCUGGCCGUUGGAGAGAAUACGCUUUUUUAACCGUUGAUCUAUUUUCUUGCCAGCUAGGCCGGUUUGUUGCUUCAUAUUGCCAACUGGAGACACGCGUUUUAACAGGUCAUCUUUUUAUUGCCAGCAAGACUACACAUUUUUUGGGCCUUUUGCAAUACUUGGCCCAUUCGAGCUUAUUUUGAGAUUCACGCUUUCGGCCUAUUCGAGCUUAUUUGAAAUUUCAGCUCAGAGCAUCAAUAGACCCAUUUGGGCCUAGAACGAGGUCCACUCACGUGGUAUAGAAUGAAUUUUUUUAUUAUGAAAAGGUAAUGAAAAAAAAUUAUAACCACAAAUUUAUUUCACCUAAAAAAAGAAACACAACAUAAGAAAUGGUUGGACUUGGAUCGCAGGUACAGUCGUAUAGCUUAUAAGAUAUUCGACCAAAUCUAAACACCCUAAUCAGUAAUUAUUUCAAUCCUAACCCUGGCAAGUGUGACAGCGGUCAUCUCCUUUAGAGUCUCUUCUUUUUUAAUCAUUCACCCCAACCUUAUAUUGUGAAGAAAUAUUAUUGAUUCGAAAAAUAACUUAUAAACAUUAUCUAGCUUUAACAGGCUAAUUAAAAAAAUAGGUGGUCUAUCCAUGCCAGAGUUGUCGUUUUAUUUCAAGAGCCAUAUUUGCGUCUAGCCGACAAUGCUCCCAACUGCCGAUCAGACUCACCAAUUAAGCGGCAGAUACUCCAGCACAGAACCCCCCCCCAUCUCAGUUAGAUCGUCUUCUGCAUCUGAAGCCGUUGAAGCAAAGCCUGGACUGAAAUGAAAGACACCUCUACUCCUGGGAGUCUUUCCAAAUUUGUGGACGAGAUUGUUCUCCUUACAAAAAUCCAAAAAAUAAUAUCUUUGGAAAAGGGACAAAUUAAUAUACAUCAUAAAAUAAAAUAAUGCACUUCAGUGCACACCACGAAAUAAUGAGCAAUAUCUUCCUAUCUUUUGCUCGUAUCUAUCUUGGUGGGCCACAACAAAUGGGACCCAGCUAUCAUCUAUUGUCAACUUCUAAGUUCUACACUUCUACCACAGAUCAUCCCACUAUAAACCUUAAUCGAGUUUUGAUUUUGAAGUUUGGAAUGUGCACUUAUUUCGCAAUACUAUGAUGAUAUUACCGGUCUUAUUUAAAAUGAUAACUGAUCCCGAAGUUUACAGACACCGUAUUAAAUAUUUUCUAAUCCUUCAAUUGUCAAUCAAUCGAUUUGAUUUUGAUUUUCAAGUUUGAUAAUAAUUAAACUCACGUGAAAUAAAUAAAAAAGAGGAUGGGAAAGCAAAUAAAGGAAAAUGAGAGUGGUUGGCUGGCAAAAUAUCUAAAAAAUGUUAUCCAAAUCGGACGAAGAAUGCGUCAAUAUCUUCCACACACAAGUGAGAGGGUAAAUAAAUAAAAAAGGAAAAUAAAAUAAAAGGCCCCACAGCAGUACACGAGAGACAGCCAAGUGUCCCCCACCUCCUCUCCAUUCUCAGCCACAAGAUUUCUUCUCGAAUUCUCCAUUCUCCUUUUCAUUUUUUUACUUGUCCUUUUUCUUUUUUAUAAAUUCCGACCGAACUAGUGGCUUGCUGAGGUGGCACCCUCCUCAGCCUUUCCUUUUAUUCCCAACAAAUCUCAAAACACUUUUCCCACCUCUCUCUCUCUCUCUCUCCCUCUUCUUUCAGAUUUUUCCUGCGAAAAAUUCCAUUUUCCCUUGCAGCCAAUCACUGUUCUCGGAGCUCCGAGUCAUUUAUCUUAACCGGCAGAGGUCUGCUACUUCGCCUUACUCGCCGUCGGAGAAGGAACUACGGCGGAUUGGAUUUGUUUAUUUCCACUUCUCAGGUGAAUUUUCUGAGUUUUUUUUUCUCGAUCUUGAUUGAAUUUCGAUCGAUUUUUUUCUUCAUUUUCCUUUCCGCUGCUGAUUGAGUCGACUCUGUUUUUGUUGAAUUUGUUCAGUCUUUCGAGCGAAUUUUGAAUCUGAAGGCUGAAUAUCGGAAGAUCAGCGUCAGCUCCAGCUCAAUGGCUGCUUCUCAGGUACUUGAAUUGUUGUUUAGCUUUUCUUCUGUAAAUGUUUUCCCCUUCUGGAGUAUGAAGCUUGUAAGUAUAGUUUGCUGAUGUUAGUAUCUUUAUGAUUAGAUAGCAGAACUUUACUAUCAGAUUCAGAUUUGGCGUUGGAUGAAAUGUUGUUUUUUUCCCUACUUGACAAUGUGAUUGCUCCUUCAUCUUCACAGUAUCACCCAGAGCCUCUAAUGGUUGCUUCUAUGUGUGAGCUUUAAGCUGAUCCUGCUUUUGGUUUUGUUGGAAUUACAGGAUGAAGUUCAAGAAGCUCUACCUAACCAAGUCGAUGGAGGUGAACAAAUGAUGGAAAUGAAUUCAUUUGGGAGUCAGCAGCUGCCCAAGGUUGGUAUAAUCAUUUGACACUCUUAGCCUGUUUAGGUCUUUUUCUUCGUUUCUUCGUUCAACUAACUAAUAGGUCAUUUGACUUGCAGGCAAGGAAGCCUUACACUGUCUCCAAGCAGAGGGAGAAGUGGACUGAAGAGGAACACCAGAAGUUCCUCGAAGCUCUGAAGCUAUAUGGCCGUGGCUGGCGUAAGAUUCAAGGUGUGUGUUGCCUUUGAAAUUACGCCCCCUUGUUUCUCAGGAACUUCUCCGUGUGUGCCCAUACCAUAUCAGUCUGGAUAAAGUUGUUGUUACUAUCAUCUUGCAGAACAUGUAGGCACCAAAACUGCUGUUCAAAUCCGAAGCCACGCCCAGAAGUUCUUCUCCAAGGUUCGUUGCUUAUCUCUGUGUGCAUACUUGUAUUGAUCGAUCGAGUGAAUCUGAUACUGAAAAGAUUCAGCCUUGACAUCAUCUGACAUGGAUGCUGUUGUAUUUGCAGGUUGUCAGAGAGACGACUGUCGGCGCAGAGAGCUCCAUUAAGCCAAUUGAGAUACCCCCUCCUCGUCCAAAGAGGAAGCCUUUGCACCCUUAUCCUCGUAAAUGUGUCGAUGGUCUCUUGGAUCAGUUCGAAAGAUCACAGUCCCCAAAUUUAUUGGGUAUUGAGAAGGAAAACCGUUCGCCAACUUCUGUAUUGGAGCCUCAAAAUGGUUGUUCCUCAUCAUCCACCAGUGACUUGCAGUCCUCCAGCAUGCUACUACCAAAUGAGAAAGAUAACGAACAGAUCAUGUCAAAUUCAUCUCAACGUGAAGGAAAUGGAUCCUCAUCACCAUUGGACGACUCGGCACCAGAAGAAUUACCCGUGGUUAGUUUUCAGAUGCGGUGUAUUGCCUUCUCCUAUUGUAAUUCAGUAAUUCGUAAUGCAACGAUCCUGACUUCCUCCUUUCCUUCUGCAUUUUCUUUGUCUAGGAAUUGCAGGCCAGUUUGAAGACUGCAGCAUUUGCUGAAAAUGAGAGAGCUGUGGUGCCAGUCACCCGGUCAAGGAGCUUCAAGCUUUUUGGACGGACAGUGUUGGUUCCGGAUUCCGAGAAGGCAUCUAGCCAACAGGAUUGCAUAGGCGUGAAGUUGUCCCUCGGGUUGGUCAAUCCUGACUCAAACCGGUUGCUGUCCGAUCCGCAGGCUUCACGAACCAAAGAUAAGCUGGAAAAUACUGCAGAAGCCAACUGUUCACUAUCACCAUGGGGUUUAUCCCACAGUUCAUUGCAUAAUUACUUGCAACAACCAAUUACGGGAAACAUUUUGAAGGAAAGGGAAGCUGUAGACGAAACGUUUUGCACCGGCUCGGAUGCCGGUUCAACAAAUGAAGUAGAGAACAGAGAGAAAUCCAUGGACGUAGCGGAUUCACAGCCUGAAGAAAGAUUAUCCAGUGUAAGAAUCUAUUCUAGUAGGGGUUUCAUGCCAUACAAGAGAUGUUUAGCCGAGAGGGACAUGACAUCAACAUUAGCUGCAUCAGAAGAACGAGACCAGCAACGAUCUCGAGUAUGCUCUUAGCCUCUUGGAGAAACAAACUUAAAAAUCUCCCUCAAUUUUUAGUAGUGAUAUAGAGAACUGUAGACAAACUGGAUUUUUUGUCCUCUCGAGUGAAGAAGGCUGCAGAAGUUGCUUCUUUUUGGCUCGAAAGACUUGGAAAUGUGAUCACACGAUGAGUGUCCAUCAGUGAAUGCAGGGAUAAAGACCAAUUGUAAAUUAUCAUUGUAGUUUCGACGAACAUUCCAACAUUUGGCUCGGUUUCAUUUGGCUCUAGUCUGUUUCUUGUUUUGUUCAGCCUACAGUUUUGUACUCUUAAGAAUUUGAAUAUGGUUCAACUAAUGGAUCUUCAAAGGACAGUACAUGAUGAACGAAAGAGUAUAAGUACAACAAAAUAUAGGUUCUCUGCUACCUGUGUUUCCCAAUUGGCUAUCAUCUAUUCUGCAUUGGAUUACUCCGGAGCUCUGAUCUGGCUUUAGCGACUUCCACGAAUAUAACCCUGCCGUCCAGAAACUGAAAGGGAGUCAGUUUGUGUUUUCGAUGAAUGCUCUUUUGAUAUCUGAAGGGUUAAUAUGCGUUCUUUCUUUUGGAGCUGCUAUCAUCUGGGUAUUAUGAUGUAGUGGCAUUGUUACGCUACAGUUUACUAAUCUCCUUAGAUGUAAUGCUCUAUCCAACUAUGCUUCCAUAUCGCCAUAUUAAUCUAACUCACAGACAUGGAUAAGAACACCUAUAUCAUCAAUACUGACAGUUUACUAAUCUUCUUAGCGGUAAUUCUCUAUCCAACUAUGCUUCAAUAUCGCCAUAGUAAUCUAACUCACAGACAUGGAUAAGAACACCUAUAUCAUCAAUACUGACAGUUUACUAAUCUUCUUAGCGGUAAUUCUCUAUCCAACUAUGCUUCAAUAUCGCCAUAGUAAUCUAACUCACAGACAUGGAUAACACCUAUAUCAUCAAUACUGUUUUCGGAGAACGAUAAUGCUUACCUUUCCAUGCAUUCCUUGGAUGGCCUUUGCGGAUUCCUCUUCGGUGGCGUACCGAACAAAGGCGAACCCUCUAGGCCGUCUUGCAAUUUUAUCCAUCACGAGAUUAACUGUAAGACAAAACAGGCACCUGUUUGUAAGAGCUAAUCAAUGGAUGUAGCUGAUAAAAGAAGAAGGUUAAUUGAGGUGAUCACGAAGAUUGAGAGUUCAAUGUGUUUAUCACCUUCCACUAGUUGGCCGAAACUGUGGAAAGCAUUUCGCAGACCCUCUUCAGUGGUUCGAAAUGAUAGACCUGUACACAAAUUGUACAUAAACAAAUGGAUAGACACAGUGUUAACCAUCAAGCCAUGAUCGAGUAAUUCCUCUUUGAUAUCAAACAUUGAAGGCUUCCGUGGCUCAGAAUUGUACAGAAACCAACAUUUAUGCAGCAACCAUACUAAGAAAUUCAACCAAUUUGUAAUCUCUGCACAGAGAAUCUAGCCUACAAACGAAUCCUCCAGAAUGCGACAGAUUCUUGUCCAUCUUCCAACAUCUACCUAGCAAGAACACUUACCUGCUAACUUAAACGAGCUAUGAACAGAACUACAGAAGGGGAAUAAAGAGGACUUAGUACCGCUUAUGUAGAGCCUGGUUUUCGGAGCGGAAGGAGGGUCAGAUGAUGAUGAUGACGAUGUAGGCAGGCAGGCCAAAACUGAUGAAGGUCUUUGACGCCUGGUACAUUGUGAGCGAGGGAAUCGGAGAGCUGUGCUCUCCAAAAAACUGGCGCGGGAGCAAAUUGAAGACGUCGAUUUCAGGUAGUGAAGUCGCUGAGCUACGGAGAAGGAAGCUGGAUAAGGAGAAGCUACGGAGGAAGUCGUCAAACCCGCCAUUUUUGCUACACAGUUCCACUGGUGUCUGUAAAUUUAAACUAAUAAAUCGGAUGGAUAGAUUGAGAGCGGAACAAAGAAAAAGAAAGUCCUCCAUUUCCGAGUAAGCUACCAAAAUGAUCACUAAAUUUGGAAGGUUUUCAUCAAUCAGUCAUUUAUCUUUAGAAACGGAUGAAAAUCAGUACUUUAUUAUCAGGUCAAAAGCUCUAGAGCACCUACGGACCUACCUUUGAGGUCUGUGACAGCAUGGCCACCGAACCUCGAUUCGUAAAGUAGCACUCACACAAGUAUGAACAACGUAACCGAUCCACAUUUCCGAUCACUUACGACUUAGAGUACUUUCUGGCCAAUUUGGCAGCUCACUAUGUCACGUAAUCUAAAUUAAUAUUUUCAAGUUCAUAAUCCAACUAAUUGAACCAAUAGAGCCUCAACCCAAAAACCAAACCAGCCGGGUUAGUAGCACGGUCGUGCUGAUUGUGAACAAGGAUCAAAGAUAAGACCACAUAGAGCUUUUCAAUUGCCCGAGAGACAGUAUAGUAAAAAAGCAACCAGCAUAACCUUCUAACCUAGCUUCCACAUUGAACUACUUGCAAAACUGUCAGGCAAAUGUUAGUGACUUGCUGGUUGCUACCAAUGCCACAGCUGAGAGGGACAUUUCCAUUAAAGGGAAUGUCGAGACAACGAUGAAAAAUCUUGUAAAAGCAUCGGGGUAUGGUUGGCUAGUCCUCAGUCCUCAUCAUCAGAACUUUCAUAUGCUAACCCUAGCAAGCUUUUCACAGGGUUUUUCUCUGGAAGCUCUUCUCCAGCAGGAGUCUGCUUGCUCUCAUCACUCUCCGAACUGAGAUUAUUUCGUACAGUGGUAGAGAUGCCCCCAUCUGCUCGAUUUGGAAUUCUGGGACGUUUUGGUUUAACUUCCACCACCUUUUUCAGUAGGUCCUGCUGCCUAUUCCACCGUAAUUUUCACACGUAAGACUACAUUACAAGCAGAAAACUUCAAAUUCAUUGUUGAUGAGAACACAAAAAGAAGUAUAUACCUUAUGCCACUCUUCGGUUUGGGCUCUACACGAAGUGGCAGUGGAACUGAUGCUGGUGAAGUGUCUGCCAAGGUUGCAGCUUUGUGUCAAUCAGUUAAGGUUACAUAGACAGACAUCGAGACAUAUAUAGCCUAGACCUACAGAGUGCUUAAGACAUAAAACCACACUAUGAUCAGAUUCGUAAACAGCACAGAAAAAGGAUAUUUUGAAUGCAGCAAAUGCCCUUUUCUCAGUGCGACGCAGGAGUCGUUCUGCAUCCUCUUCAGCUUCCAUCUGCUCCUUGAGGUAAAGUAGGUCAUCACUGUCCAAUGCUGCAAAAGCAAUCUCGAGAAAUUGAACACAGCUGCUACUGAAAGAUAUCUGAAAUGUAGUCUAGCUAAGGCCUCAGAGUAGUAGACAGGAUACCGCCUCUUCCGUGAAGAUAGCCCCCACGUUCUCCAGCAACUUCUUGCAUCUGUCGCAUCACCAAUCCAACGGGAUAAGCCAGGAUCCCUGUCAGGGCAUGUUAUCAGAAGAAAUGGUAGAUGACUCUUUCUCAUUCAUAAAAAGCGUGAAGAUCAAACCCACUCAUACACAAACCAGGAAUCAGUGGCCUUAAUCUUGAUACACUCUUUUGACUGAGAAUUGCUAUCAUCGUAUCUUAAAGAUAUCUUCAUUUUGCCAAUUGAAAGCAUACAACUCCAACUAGUACAAUUUCUUGCAUUUGUUUUCAACCCUAACUCUCUGCAUUCUCGGAUUAAACAAAGCUCAUAUUCCGAAUUGUGGCAAUGUUAUCAAAAGAAAUGCUUGAUGACUCAUUCUAAAAAAUGCAAAGACCACUCUUAUAACCAUUGGCUUAAUCUUGAUGCACCCUUUUGACUGAGAAAUGCUGUCAUCAAAUCUUAAAGCCUUAUCAUUUUCAACCUACAACUCCAGCUAGUACAAUUUCCUCCUUAGGUUUUCUACCGUUCCGGUUUUACUACGAAUCAUUCACAUCCACAGAAUGAUUAGUGAAAAUAACAAAAGGGAGAGAAUCAGAAAUGCUAUCAUCAUAUCUUAAAUAAAGACUUAUCCUCUUCAACCUACAACUCCAACUAAUACAAUUUUCCUGCUUACUUUUCCAACCCUAACUCCCUGGAUAAUGACAAUAAACAUCACUCGUUCCGAUUUUUACUUAGAAUCAUUUACCGUCCACAGAAUGGAAACAGAUCAGGAGAGGCGAUUCGCCUAACCUUAGCAACCAUGCGGUGGAAAGUGACAUCUUCGUCGUCGACUUUAUCUUUGCCCUUUCCGAGUUUCCUCUCUGCACACAAAAAUCCAUUGGAGUCUGAAGAAAGCAAGAGCAACCUGGACAGCUACAAACUGAAAGCAGCGGAAGAUACCUUUGGGAUCGGUGAGGUUUGUAUAUUCUCGCACUUCCCUUCCCGCCAUUACGAGCUACAGCUGAAAGAACACGGAUUCAACAAAAUAUGAGAAGAGGGAUACGAGUAACGAUUGGGUUUGUAAGGAUGACUCACGCAGAAAUUGCUGAACCAGAGAAGCGGAAGCCAGGAAAGAGGAAUCGGAAACUCGUUUAGGGAUUUGAACUUCAAUAAAUUAUUAUCCUGGAGGGAAUGAAGAGGAGCUGAGGAAUUAGGGAUUUGAACUUUGAAAGUCACCACUGGCCAGGGACUAAUGGAUAAAUAUUUGAAAUGCAGCAAAAAUUACAGUUUUGGUCAUUAAAGUUUUAAUCAAUUAAGAAGAAGGCAACACCAUAUAAUCUUCAAGUUGGCUCCCAGAGUCAUUAGUUAAUUGUGGUGUAACACAUCUCACUAAUCCCACAUGGGGGCAAUAAGGAGAUGGCGCAAUCAUCCGGUUUAGUGGACCAGACGUCAUGAUGGUUAGAAUUUAGCUAUUUUUUGAAUCGAUUCAAAGGUUGGACCGAUGGUUUUCUAAAAUGGAGGGAAAUGCAUAAGGUUGGUUUUACCAAACAGCGAUUACGGUUUAUUAAAUAGGGUUUUGAUGUGAACCAUCUUCUUUUUUCCUUUUGUUUUAAUUCGAUUGUCAAAUAAAUUUCUAGAGUCACUUACUGACCUCCUCUUUUCGUGUGUGCUUGUUUGAACAUUUAUUUCGAAAUUAAUCAUGAGUAAAACUUUGCUUAAAAAAUCUACUUUAUACUAUAUUUCCAACUUCCAACAUUAGGAUCCAUGAAAGACAGAGUAGUUGUCAAAAAUGGGAAAUGAAUCAACACAUAGCUUUAACACUUUGUUUCUUUAUUCAACAUGAACAUUUGACAGCUCAAUCAUCAACAAUCAGGAGUUUCUGGUCACGUUGAUCUGGCCAAUCAUGGCAGAAAAAAAUACCUUUCCAUUCAACUUCCAGCUUUUAGAAUGCAAUUGAUCGUUGAAUGCCAUGGCUUUGCUGCUCUAUAAAAAGAGCAGAUCAUAUCAAUCUAUCAGACUCACAAACCAUUCUUCUCAUCUACUUCAUCAUCAAUCUCACAAAAUGGCGGCCAAAUUCAUUCUCUUUGCCUCCAUCUUUGUAUUGAGAGCUCUAGUUUCUCAGACCAUGGCGCGCUAUACCCUUCCCGAAGCUUCCAUACGCCUCAGGCAUGAGCAGUGGAUGACUCGUUAUGGCCGAGUCUACAAUAGUCCUAGCGAAAAGGAGACUCGCUACCAGAUCUUCAAAAACAAUGUAGCCUUCAUCGACUCUUCCAAUGCUUAUGGAGACAGGUCUUACAAGCUUGGAGUUAAUCAGUUUGCUGAUUUAACUAACGAGGAAUUCAAAGCCUCUAGAAACGGGUUCAAGGGGCACAUGUGUUCUACGCAACACGGACCUUUUAGGUACGAAAAUGUGAGCGUGGUUCCAACGACCAUGGACUGGAGGAAGAAGGGAGCAGUCACUCCUAUCAAAGACCAAGGCCAGUGCGGAAGCUGUUGGGCGUUUUCGGCCGUGGGGGCAAUGGAAGGAAUCCACCAGCUCAGUACUGGCAAAUUGGUGUCCCUUUCGGAGCAAGAAUUGGUUGACUGCGACACCAAGGGAGAUGACCAAGGAUGCAGCGGCGGGUUGAUGGACGAUGCGUUCAAGUUUGUCAUUCAAAAUAAGGGACUGACCACCGAGACCAACUACCCUUAUGACGCUGCUGACGGAACCUGUAAUGCUAACAAAGAAGGCAGCAGUGCAGCCAAGAUUACCGGGUACGAAGAUGUGCCGGCCAACAAUGAGGCCGCAUUGAUGAAGGCAGUAGCAAGCCAACCGAUUUCAGUAGCCAUCGAUGCAGGGGAUUCAUCGUUCCAAUUCUAUUCAAGCGGAGUAUUCACUGGAGAAUGUGGGACUGAACUGGACCAUGGAGUGACAGCAGUUGGGUACGGAGAGAGCGGUGGGAUGAAGUACUGGUUGGUGAAGAAUUCGUGGGGAGCACAGUGGGGAGAAGCCGGAUACAUUAGGAUGCAGAAAGAUGUUACCGCCAAAGAAGGUCUAUGCGGAAUCGCCAUGCAGGCUUCCUAUCCUACUGCUUGAUUGUUAUUCUAAUCCGAAGCUAAAUCCACACUCUACAAAAAUUCACUGAAUGCAUAAAUAUGUUUGUAAGAUAUAAAUUGUAAAGUUCGAAUUGUGUUGUAGCCUACAUAUAUGCCUAAUUGUGAACAAGUUAUUCUGUAAGCAUUUGUGGUAAAGAUUCAGCUAUUUUUACUGCAAGUAUCAAGAACUAUCUGCUAACUUAUAAGACAUAAAAUAAAUUACACGAGCUCUACAAUUUAAGCAAUUAGUUAACAGAUGUUACAAAGCCAUUUCCAGAAUCGUCACAGUGCUGAGAGCUCAACCUCUUGGGUACAAGGACGAUAAGCAACGAAAGUGCUGUCACUCGAGAAGGACCCUGGGUUGAAACAAGUGAUGCCGGUAUAUUUGAAUGCCUUCUGCUCACUGUUGUCACCUAAUACUAUCUGUGUCCCAGUAGAACAAACCCAAGAAGAUGAUUUUUCAGAGAAGAAACUAGUGAUAUGUGAGUAGAAAUAAAAAAGAUGAAAGAGAUAUGAUGAUUACCGUAUGUGGUGAUGGAUAAAGAUGAAGACUGUGAUCGUAGUUCCAAAUUACUGGCUGGACAAUGAGAGGGAGAGGGCAGAGAUGACUUUGAUGGGUGAUUGUGGCAACCAACUGUUAGAAGAAGAAAAAAAAAACAAGUCAAACCUUCAGCUCUCCAUAACUAUCCAAAAUAUAUGCUAAGGAGGUAAAAAGAGAAGCAAUACAUGCUCGAAAUCAUCGUCAGUCUCUUCUGUAAAAGGCGGUAUCAAACAUGACCGGCGCAUUCUAUAUAGAAGAUCGUGACAGAAGAACACAAUUUCUUGGGUAUAGAACUUGAUUCUGCAUUGUGGAAAAAAGUAAUGAAAUUUACAAGUCAAUAACUUGUACUCGACGUCUCAAAAGGGUCAAGUUCAAGAAUGAGGAAUUUUACCGGCAUGGGUUGGUUGAAAAUAUAGCACUCAGAACGUGGUUCUGCAGCUCCUCAGUCAAGUAGUUUGGCAAAGGGCAUCUUGGUAGAGCAGUUGAUGGGCCUGAAAAUGAAAUUUUUAUUCUUUAGAUCAUGGCGAGAUAACAAUGGAAGAACCGUGUGGUACGAGUUUCAGUAUACCUGCAUCAUCAGGGCCGGGUAUGAAUAGGAAACGACUCUGAUCCUUUAGCCGUGGAUGAGCACUAAUCAUCUGGCCUAACUUCCCAAAUUGCACCCUGCAGGUUUUACAUUGAACUGUUAAAACUGCUGAUGAAAUCUUUUACAAGCAAGCCUUCGUUUGGGAGGGUACCUAACCUGAGACUCUUCAUUGAAUGGAAGGAAAGGUUACAAGGGACUGAACAGAAGUUCCCCAUAAAGACAAACAAAGAAGGAACCACCUCUUGACUCUCGAAACCAUCGAGCACGGUCUCCAACUUCUUCAUGACCUUCUCCAUGGAUAAAAUGUAUGUCAAAUGAGAUGGACUAUAUGAUAAACUGAAAACAUCCAAGAAUCUAUGAGAUCACCUCUUCAUCAUCUAGCCAAAUGUCGUAUAGUACAACAAACAUGUCAUUAACCGCUCUUUUCUCCAGCUCCGCAAACCUGAGCUAUUGUAUCAUUUAGGAAAUGCCACUUUUGAUACUGUCACGAAUAACUAACCAGACGAAGACUGGAAGAACAAUUAAUGGAAGUGACAAAUAAUAGUAAGGAUACAGCUUCUUCUUUUGCCAGUGUACCACCACCAAAGAAAUCAUGUCUACCGAGUGCUUUUAGUGACUUCUCUCUAUCCUCCAGGGGAGGAAAUCCACAUGUAUGUACCUUCAUAUAGAAAUAAACUGUACCUUAUUCAUAACAUUUACAGGAAAAAUGAAAUAUUACAUUUGAUGAGUUUGAAAGGAAUAUCAACGCAGCUAAGAUAGAUGACUCUUUGAUCAUAUUGACUAACGGAUCAAGAAGAGGAUUUCAGGGUCAUAUGCAGAUAAUCUCUCCAAAGAUCGAUCAACAAGCCAGUGGAAGAUUUAACAAAGAGGGCAUCCGUUUACCUGAAAAAUACCAUCCACGAGCAUUUCUCCUUCUGCAACAACUAUCGUGUUCUCUGAUAGGAAUCCAGUAGUUAUUUUGUGUUCCAUUAUUAAGGAACACAGAUGUGUUGAGCAUCAUUUCAACGAUUAUUAUUCACAUGACAAACAAUAAUGCUACUGGAUAACUCGAUAGGUAGAUUGACCUCAAUAUCAUUUUUCCUUUUCAUAUUUGAGAUGAUUGAACUGCUCAGGCCAAGAAUAGGUAGGAAACAAUAUAAACAACAAAAUGACAAAGCUUUGUAGCCCAAAAAGGAAGAACAGGGCAAAAAAUAACAGCUUGAAGGAUAUUGCUUUUGAGAAAUCGAUCUCAACUGAAGCAGUAAGAUCCUCCAAGAAAAAAUGGCCAUCCUCCAAUUGGGAAAUGAGACCCAUAACCCAUUUUGUACCUGUCUUCCCAAUAAGAGACUGAAUUGGUGCUAUCUGCAACAUUCACGCAAGAGUAAGAAAAGAUACUAAACAGAUGGAAGUUUAACAUGCGACGAGUUUAUACAAAGCAGGUGAAAAAGCACCUCGCAACUUCCAUAGUUUGAAAUAUCAGAUUCAAAUGCAGGCUUGGAGAAGUGCUGAUCGCGUUGCACUCUCUGCAAAAGCAGAAGAAACCGGUCCCUGUAUAGAGCUGCUUUAGCUGAAGCGUCACCUUGGAUAGGAAGCCGCCCCGCAUGCCUGUAUAUAAACAGUGAAAACUCAAGAUCAAACAUCAUAAUUAGGGGUUGGAAAACGCAUCAAUGACGGCAAAGGAGGAGAAGAAGACUCACUGAUAGAAUUGCUUCUUGAUCGAAUGAUAGCGAUAUUUAGGGAUUGAAAAUGCAUCAAUAACGCGAAGAGCAGACUGCGGGGAGACCGAGUUAGGGUUUUCCUCCACAGCUUCGUCAGCUUCCAGUAACGAGCUUACGGCACGACUCACAAGCUCCUUCUCAAUAAUCGAAGAUUUCACUCCCAAUUUCCCUGACAUCAAUAGCAACGAAAAAUUUAAGAAUCCCUAGAAUCGUGGAGAAUAACAAGAGGCGUAAGGCAAAAUGGGAGAAAAGCUGAUUCGAUUACGAGGUCCGGACAGGAGGUGGUCGAGGAGGAGGUCGAGGGCCUCGUCUUCGGCGUCUUGGUAUCGAUUGACGAAGGAAAGGAUCUCUUCAAGAGCGUCGACUUUCAAAGCGUAGCCUCUGAUCUUGAACUUCUUCUGUAUGGACUUUCUCAGGGAGCUUCCCACACCGCCGCUGCUGCUCAUCUCUCUGGUUUGCUACGGUGGCCGGAGAGAGGAUGGAUUUCGGAGUAGAGUUUCUGACGCCGCCGGUGAAAUGAACCAGCUACUUUGUUUAGGCCUACUAGCCAGCUUUUGAGCGGGAAAAUUCAGCAAGUGUAUAGCUAGAAAUGGCGGGAAGUUGCAAUACGGGAGAAUAGUUCAUAAUGAAUGUAGGGCGUCGUUUAAUUCGAAUUCUAGGGCGUCGUUUAGUAACCCUCAUAAUUAUCGGCAUAUUAUUUAAUUGCGAAGAUAAUUUGCAAUGUUUUCAAAACCCAAACGAAAAAGUUGAUAGUAUAAAAAGUUUAAUAACCCAACAGCAACUCUAUACUUAGUGGAACCAAAAUAUCUUGAACAGUUUAACAUUAAUAAGAACUCAUCCAUCACACUCAGAGAACUAUUUCGUGCUUCGUCGAUAUGAAAUUUCGUCGAUAUGGAAUUCGUACAUGUAUCAUAUCCGGAGAGUUAUAAGAAGAAAAAUAAAACACCUACUGUCAAAAAUAAAACCACCACAAAAAACGAGGACGAGCAUUUGGAGAAAAGGAAGAAAUAGUUUUGCAUAAUGUACAAGGAAUUCCCCCCAAAACAAAAUUGAAGAAACCCAAACUGGCCACUAAAUCACAUAAAAUAAGACAAUGAAGCCCCCCCUGGUAAUACACAACUUUUUUUUAAGUGUCCCCCCCUAGUAAUAAUACACAUCUUUUUUUUUAACGUGCAAAAACUACAUUCGUUGAUCAAUCAAUCGCAUAACUAUAAGUUACACCUUGGUAACAAUGGGGGGAGGAAGAAGAACAAUGGGGACUGGUGAAGUUCAAAUAUCACUGUCCCCUCCACCACAGCAAAGGCUGCUGUCAAGAUCGGAUCGGUCUUCCGAGAAAGAUCACAAAAGAGAGUAGAUCGCAGGUUUACGCAGAUAUUGGUUCGUAAGGGAAGGAUAGCCAAGGGUGCUUCAGAGCCUCUGCCGCAGAAGGCCGCUUGUUGGGGUUCACUUCGAGCAAAUGCCUGACGAAAUCAAUGAAUCCGUGGUCCCCCAUCGGCAAUCGGUGCCUCAAUGAUGUCUUCUUCGGUACCAAAUACUCUAGCCGGUUUGUCUCCUGAAGAAUUUGAGGUCAGUUCCAGAAAUAACAGCAAGAGUUUGCAUUCAAGCUACUGAAGAAGAAUUAACAGCAAGAAUAGACAUUUCAUCUACCACACAGCCUUAACAGCACCGGAUUUUCGAUAUUCUUUAACAUGCAUGCUGAAGUUCGGAGACAUGCAUUUACUAUCUAGCUACAACAGAAAUUAAAAAGGAACAGAACAUGGCCUUACCUGAUUCCGUUCGUAAAGCAUGUGAUUUUUGGUGAAAUACUUGUAUGUGUCUCGUCCUUUAGCCAACAUUUCCUGUUCAACGGCCCCAAUGAUUCCGAUGACUCUGGCCAGAAGGGUUGCUGGUGAAUCAUUUUGGAAGAGGACCUGAAACACAUACACGUUGUCUACUUGAUACCAUCGCGCAACGAUUAUACAAAUUACUUAGACAAUCAAGUAGGAAGUACUGAUUAGCUUUUAAACUUACAUUGCCAGUACAAAGCUCUGCCAAGAUACAGCCGAGUGACCAAACGUCGAUCUUCUUAUCAUAUGGAAGGCCGAGGAUGACCUCGGGUGCCCGAUAUGAUCUAGAUUGGACGUAAGAGCAGAGGUGAUCCGUCUCGAAGCAGCUACUUCCGAGAUCGAUGACUUUCACCUCGCACCGACUGUAGCUUUUCACUAGUAUAUUUUCAGGCUUCAAAUCGCAGUGAAUAAGGCCGAGACCAUGCAAGAAUUGAAGUGCUUCCAAACACUGAAUUGUAAUUGACUGCAUUGAAUCAUACAAGGCUUAUUACCAAUCAGAGUAUGUGAAAUAUAGAAAAAUGAAGCUGAAAAUGAAACGAACCUGCAAUCUGGGCAUUGUGAAAUACACUUCUCCUCCAGAUUCUCUGUUGAAUUUAUGGAAUUCAUAUAAGUUUGCUUUGAGAAGUUCACACACAAUCAACAAAUGUUCCUGGAACGAGAACAGAAAGAUGUAGUCAUGUAGGGGACAAGAAAACCAUAAAGUAUAUCACCAUUUCUGACAUCCCCCGAAAAUAGUCAACUUCCCCGGACUCCACCACAAGAUAGAGUACGCAAAGACAAAGAUAUACUAGCAUUUCUGGCAAAAAAUGGACACGAAGAAACUGCCGCAUUUCAGAAUUAACUAGUUCGUUUUGUCUGUAUUAACCACUACUUACAACAUGGAAGCUGGUAUAGGUCUGACACUUGAAGUUGAAUGUGAAAGAUACCCAAACUUCAUAAUCUAAUAGAUUCUUUUAUUUGCUAUUAAGAUGUCAAUCUUAAAAUUUAAGUAGAGAACUCAGUAGCCUCAGGUGUGUGUUACCGCCUGAAUUCAUGACGAAAUAUCACUACGAGAGUAUCACAUAAAUGAUGCAGUAUGUAAAGUAACUUCACUUACCCGGUAGUAGAAAUAGUCGUAUAAUCUGAGAAGGUGAUACUUGUCAGCUGGAUCAUGCUUGUUCACGUAUUUGAGAAGUUUUAUCUCAUCAAGGCUCUGGUCAAAGAAAUCCUUGUUGUUUUUUAUGAUUUUCACACAGACAUCCAUGCCUGUGUGCAGAUCAUGCGCCUGAAUGGCUUUACUGAAAGCAGCUGAGCCAAGAUACUCUGUAACAUGAUAUCGCCCAGCUAACACAGAAUUUAACACAACAUGGAAGUUCUUAUCCUCCUCAAAGCCAGUCCUGAAGAAGAGACCAGCAGUUCAGUUGAAGAAGACUGUUGAAAUAAAAUGCAUUGACAUAUGAUAGGAAUUAAGGAUAAGCAAUUUCAUUGGACAAAAAAUCAUUGUCAUCUUGUUAAUAAAUAGUAAAAACAGAGCUAUCAUACCAAUACUGUUAAGAGAAUUAGAAGCACAUAAAUACAAUUUCCGAUUUUCCACUUUGGGGCUAUAUGAGAAAACAACCCAGCUGAUGAAGAAGCAGCAUCGAUAGAGAUUUUGUAUCCAAUUCCCAUACUGAAGGCGAAACAUUUCUAGUAGUUUCAAAUAUGAUUUCUAGUAGUUUCAAAUAUGUCAAAAAUCCUCACAAGCAUAAAGUAAAAGAGGCUGUAGAUAAAAGAGCAAUGGUGGAAGGAGGAAAAGAUUGAGAAAAGGAACCCAAUGACAUUGACAAAUUAGAAGAAAAUGUUUCCAACAGCUGGGAAUUUGAGUUUCAAGCAUGCAAGCAGAAAGGAGUGAAAAUCAGUAUAAGCAGACUACUUGGCUAUUAUUGCAAAACAAAGGGAGAUAUGAGAAAACAGAAUUCGAAACUAUUAACCAAUGAAACUGAAACAAUGACAUCUCAUGAUUAGCGGCUGACAACAAACAGAUAAACUUUUCAACAUAUGCUAAUUCACAUGCCUGUUUUUCCGAUGCACAAUCUUUAGGUUGAAAGUCUCAAAUUCUUCCUCCUGAGCUUUGAUCUGCCUCACUUGUUCUUGCACAGCAAUUGCUUCUUCAUCAUCAAGUGACAUCCCAGGUUCUUCCCCAGCGUCGUCAAUCUUAUCAUCCUCCUCUUUCUUAGCACGUUCUUUUUCGUUGUAUGCAUAGUUUGAAAGCGUAGAGGGAGUUGAGUCUCCAGAAACAAUAGCAUGGGCAAUAUUUUCUUCCAUGUAACUUUUCGCAGUUGAAGAACUACUACUUUUAAGCUUCAAUCCACCAAGCAUGUCAUCAGGCAACGUCAAAGCAUCCAAAUGAUCCAUGUCACCAGUUUCAUUAGCCAAAACUGUGCUAGACUUGUUAGACCACAAAGACUUGCUAGACCCUGCCUGGACCUCUUGACUAUCCCUCAAUGGUGGAGGAAAUGAAAACCCUCCAUCUUUAAGAGCUUUCAGUUGAGUAGAAGCAACUUUUUCAUUCCCAAAAUUCCCUGCAUCAUGUUUGCCGGCCCUCUUUUUAUCCUUGCUUUGUUUAUCACCAUAUUUCUUGUCUAAAUCUUGGUGACUAGCUCUAUACCCUCUAACCUCGACAUCAUGAUCACGAAAGUAUUCCAGAUCUCCUUCACUGCUACCACCAAUCAAACUAUCAUGUAUUUCACUCCCAAAAUCAGCAGCAUCGCUGUUAAUACCCACACCAAUUGAUCGAACCGAGCCAUGUUGAUCAUCAUCCAUUCGUGUCCUCCCGGAGUCAUUGUUUACUUUCCCGUCUCCUAGCAUGACUAGUUCAUUUGUUUGCGUGACAAACCCCUGCCACACAGGUUCACCACACAUCAAAUUUAGUUCUUCUUCAUCUAACAAUUGGCCAUCAUACUGUGCCAUCAAGUCAUUAUCAUGUGUUCUCCCGUAAAUUUCAGUCACUGACAGUCCAAUAGGAUCAUCUGAAGCUGUAGCAGGUUCAACAUUUUUUGUUUGGAAAGACCGCUCCCCAGAAAAGUACGAGUCUUCCUCAGCAAAAGAUUGAUCAUCAUCCUCGUCUUUUGUUGGACCCCUUUCCUGAGGGUCUGGAACGCUCCCAGUUACUGUCCCCUUCUCGUUGUCACUAGGAUAAUCAAUUUCAUGAGCCAGAAACCAGGCCUCAUCCUCUAUAGGUUGCCUCGUGUACCCGACAUCGUCAUCAUCAUCAUAUUCAUCAGAAUCCCAAUAUUGAUUAGGAUAGUCAAUAGACUCACUCAAUCCAUCACCAACUGUAGCAAAACCAGAAACUAGGUCGUCUUCUGCAAUUCCCUGACUCACGGACAGCCAGCUGCCUCCGGCUAUUCUUUUUCCAGCUGAAUCGUCAACUACAAGGAACAUUCCAAAGUAAAUAACUCAAAUGCCAUAAAGCGAUUCAACAAACUAACAAGAUUGAGAGCCUUUGGCCAAACUUUGUAAACCAUUUCUCAGUUGACUGAAACUGAACUGUUCAAAUUGAGGACCUCUCAGAUGAUAACAGUUGGACAUGGUAUAGACCAUGGAAAAUUCCAAACUGUAUGCUUGAAAUGGUAUAGAACAGUUCAAAAACUAACAAGUCUAGGUCUUAGAUGAUAAAAGGAUCAGCUGAACAUGGUUUAUACCAACACCUCAGUAACUACGAGUCAGCUACUGGUUGACUAGUGGGGACGUAGACUAAACACAGGUCUUUCACAAUCAUGACGUCCAUCUUACUCAGUGGAAAUUAUAAAGCAACAUGACUGAAUACGAAAAAUUCGGUUGCAUGUAAAAGUAACAGUUGUAUACCUAAACAAUUAUCUUCAGUACUGCAUCCAAUUGAAAAGCAGUUGGCCCAAUUGUAUACUAACCUGAAGAGUUGAUUUCCUGUCCAAUAGGAACGUCAAGAUAUGACCCUAUCAGAAAGGAACUAUCACCACUGCUAAGCUUUGCCCCUUGCUUAUCACGCUCAAACUUCUCCUGCCAGUUGGCAUUCAAUAAUUUGUCUUCUGACUUUAGUCUAACGGGCGGAAGUCUCGGAUAGUCUUCUUUAUGAUUCUCAGCCGCAAUAGUAAACCCUGAAGAGCUUAAAUUCUUCGGUUCAAUACUUCCUUGUGAGUUCCCAAAGUACAAAGCUCUGCCAACUUCAUCUACCUUUUCUUUAAUGGCAGCCCUUACAUCAGGCACAUCUGCUUUCUUAUUCCCUUCCUUCUUAUCUGAUGACGUGUCAUAACUAGUAGAUCCAUCCAGAAUGGAGAACGGAAGAACAGUCUUCACAGAACAAUUUUUCCAUAUGUCCGCAGAAGAACUUGUUGGCUGCUCAGUUACUGACCAUGGGUUGUCAGCAGGAUAAGAGACAGUUGUUUUAACUUGCUGACCAAACUCUAUCGGAUCACUUGUCUGAAUUUUGCUAUUUCUAGAAUCAGGGAUGGAUGAACCACUGCUGCUUUCCUGCCAUGCAGUUUUCUUUACACCUGAGAAGGUAGCCUCCUCUCUAGAUUUCCCUUCUGUUCUACCAGAGUAGUUGCUUGUAUUAGCUCUAUCAUUCUGAUAAGCAUUAGGACCGUUGUUAGCUAUGGACUUCCACGAAUACAAAUCUAAGACGGUAUCCCCAGAGUCUGUGCCAUCGAUUGUUUCAUUAGGUUUGACAUUACGGUCGUCAGCAGAAGCAGAACUUUUCCAUCUACCCUCAGACCCAUUUCCGUGAGUGCUGCAGUCUAUCUCUUUCACUAUAAGUUCUUUAGAAUCCUCACAACUAUCUCGGGAACCAGAGCCCUGAAAUUUAGCAGCUGGUUUGUUACUCACAUUCCUUUCCUCUAUGACUUCCCUCGCUUCCUUGUCAUCAAGACUAAGUUUCUGCAAGAACCCAUUUAGGUCAGGUUGAACGCCAAGCUCGCUCCUUAACGCUGCCUCAGCUCUAGUGAACCGGUUUCUCCGCAAGAAGUCAAGGAUCACGUCAACCGAAUUUGUGUCCGCCAUAACCUACAGUUGGGAACUCCUUACCGAAGACGCUACAAAGAAGAAACUGCCACGCCUGGCAAAUAACAGGAUGUAAUAGUGAGAAACUUUUAAACCACUGCAACCAUAUUCAAAUACUCAGUGUUCCAGCACAAUUUCACUUUUCAUUUGAAAGAUAAUGAAGCAAGUAUGUAGAUUCAUAGAACAAGAAGCAAGAGAAGCCAGUUCAUAAUCCCCACAUAACGCAUUUCUUCUAUCUAAAACAGCUAAUAACAAAAGAGAGGAAUACGGCUCAAAAUGACUAAAUGAAGAAAAUUAAUAAGCACAUGCACACACACGCCCGCAUUUGAAGAAACUCUCAAUGCAAACCCUAACAUUAAAAAAAAAAUCCCACAGAGCAGGUGAUGCAAUGGGAUCCAAACUCCGGAACCAGAAAACCCUAACAACUUGAGCUGUAUCCAAAACCAAUGAGAAAUCUCUGGUUAAGCAAAACAGAACAGAAGUAGACCCCGCCCCUCAAACUCCAUUUGGAAAGAAAGCAAACGAGAAUUUCACACAGAUUCAAAACUACCAAACAGAGAAGGAAAUGAAGACGAGGAAGAAGUGGCACUCACAGAUCGAAACGGCAACGCUGAGAGGAGGAGCUGUGUGGAGUGAAGAUUUCAUAGCUGGACCAGGAGAGAAGAAGAUAGCCAGAAGAAGAACGCAGCAGAAAUUGAUUACGAGAUGGCAAUGCUUCGAUUUUGCAUUUGGGGAAGAUUUUCGUUUCUUUUUAUUUUUUCUAUUCCAAAGUUUUAAUUAUUUUUCGGCCUGCAGGACAAUGACUCGAUGAGGGGGGGGGGGGGGGGUGGGGAAAAGGGGAGGGGGUGUUUGGUGUUUUUUGUUUUUUGUUUUUAUUUUUGUACAUGAUUUAUGUAGUUGUUUUUUUGUAUGAGCUCACACAAGUAAUGAAACCAGACCAACAUGCAUCAUUUUAAUUAACAUAAGUUUCAGAUUUUUUGGUAAGCGAUAUAUUUAUUCAGUAGAGUUGUUAGCUGGUAAUUUGACGGAAUAAGUUUGAAUUUAGUAACACAUACCUUAUGUAUGUAAUGUUUAUUUUUUUUUAUUUCAGAGAAACAAAAUUUAUUAUGUUAUUCAAUCGAUGGAGGUAUGUGAAUAAUGUAACACAUAUUGUGCUAGAUAACAAAGAAAGUUAGUUACUCGAUCCAAAACCAACACAUGCCAAAAGAGGGGAGAUGAGCAAAGGGAGUUAGAAAAUUGAAUAAGGGUUGUACUAUAUCCACAUUGAUUGUGAAAUGCACAUUGUUAAAAAAAGCUCUUGGAAAAUGAAUCUUUUCAUUUAACUCUACAAUGUUCGAUUCAAGGACUAGCAGAGUUCAUCGCCUUUACAUUCUGGAUCAAGUCAAUCAAAUCAAUCAAUCAAUCAAUUAGACCCACAUUUCACUAUGCUUUGCUAUUUUCCUACCACUUCAAGCGAGAGUUAGUGAGAACCCGGCCCGGCAUCACUUCUUUGUGUGUUCUUCCUAUCAUCUAACCACGUCUGAACCGCCUACUCAACCUGCAAAACAACCCUAAUUCAAGUCGGAGCCUUCGAUGGACGUGUUAACUAUUCCUGCAUUUGCUGCUUUUCCCCGAAUCAAGCCGGUGAUUGUAUAUCCCCUUUGCAGAACCGCCAUGAUCCAUCGUCUUGCCUUUUCAGCACAUAGUGAACCCUAUACUUGCUGCAAUCAAUUUCACCGUUAAAAAUCCAUCCUGUUAUGCAAUGGAGCUUGGCAGAUGUUGCAUAUAAUCUCAGUUGGGAUAGUUUACCUGUGAUAGUUUGGAUUCUUUUGCUCUGUCUCGUCAACAAGCUCCGCUACUUCCUCAAGGAGAGCUUCAAUUUCAGCCAUUUCCAUGCCAAAUCCAUCAGAGACAAUGUCAGCUUUCAGGAUGGACAGGUCGAGCAGAACGAACCUCCAAUAGCAGGAUUUGGCUUGAGCUGCAUCAGCCAAAGCUUGAAACUGCAAUUCAGAAUAACGGAACUCAAAACAGUUAACCGAAUGGCCUGGAAGAGGACCAAAACUGUUCAUUUGAUUUUGGUUAAUUAUCUGAUUUUGACACGGACUUACCUGAUCAAGCAUUGAUUCAGCAAGCAGUUCAGUAAGGAUAUGGAGUUGAUGUCCAGAGCCCAGUGCUUCAGCUUUAACAGUUUGCCAUUGUCUAACCAGCACUUCAGCGUCUUCAAAUGGCAUCUGCUUCCUAGAUAAUGCUCUAGCAGACGAUAAUGAGUUCUCUGAUGAUGUCCUAGUCUGCGGAAACUUGUAAAAUUGUGUUUUAACUGUUGCUGACAGCUUCUUCAUUCUGUUACUAAUGCUGCCACAUUCUCCAGAUAACGAGCUAUCAGCAAUUUGCUGAUUGAAGGCAACAUUCGGAGUUGAUCCUCUUAGACUCCUGAUUGAUAGUUUUGAGGUUAUAUAAACAAUGCAACCCAGUACACAAACAAAAACGAUCUUCCCAGCCAGAGUUUCCGAUGUGAAAUCAGAAAAUGGCCUUUGAGCGACAACCCGUUUGGAGGACUUAUGAUACUGUACUUUACUUCUAUCACUUUCAGUUCUCUUCUGACCAGAGAAAAAGUUGACCUGGAAAACUGGAAGUUAGCCAAGAAUUGGUCCUCCUCCUUGUCACAUUGAAUUCUAAUGACACAAUACUCACCAGUGAUGGUGAACAAUCUCUGGUAUCUGAAAAUGCAGCAAGCACGGAGUCCUUAAGCCAUGUUUCCUGGUCAAGUUCAGCAGGAUUUCUGACAUAAGAAAGCAAGUAAAUGCUCAAAUAAUGCAUCAAGAGAAUAAACUACAUGCCUGCAGCACCUUCAUUAAUGGCAGAUCCUAUACAAAACUAAAUAGCAUCUUCUAAAGCACAAAAUUUUGAAAAACCCUAAAAGAUCUCCUUUACAAUCCUCCCCUUCAACUACAACUUCUUGCAUGGAGUAUAUGAAGCCUACAUGCCACCUGACACUACCACAUCCGGAACUCACGUAACGGAGAUGUCACUACCAUAUUGUGCAGAUACAGCCAGACAAAUUAUACAUAGGCACCAAACUUCUAAUAAUGUGCAUGACCUAGCUUCAUAUUAGUUCAAGCUUCAUUAUGUACUAAACAUCAAAUUGACGACAGACAACCAGCACACACGUCAAAAAUAUAAUAACUACAUACUAGAGACAACUUCACAGUCUUUGCAUCAUUCUUUUCCUUCCCCAAAGCUAAACUCCAUGGAGCUGGAUUUGUAUUCAAUUCUACUUGUUGAAGCUUUUCGACCACCAGCGCCUCAUUACCCUGAUAAUUGGUAUGUCAAUAUCAGAAAAAUAAUAAGAAAGAGGGACGAGAGUCCAAACACGAAGAAAGAAAAAGCAAUGAACAUCUAAGAACCAAUAAAAUUUGAAAAAGAUUCAGGAUCUGUCAGUGUGUUGCAGAAAUGACAAAAAACAACUGAAUUGUACCUCGGCCAGAAGAAAUAAGCACAAUGCUUCUUCCAACUUUAGAUCAAUACCUUCUGAUGCCAUCAAAGCGCCACAUAUAUCCUUUGCUUUAUUAAUCUAAGGGACGGUAAGAUGAUCAGUAUGAAAUAAUAAAGCUUUGACAGGCCACACAAAAGUAAUGUUUGUACCAAUUUUGUCUGCUUGCUAGAGAAACCCAGAGCAAUAUGAGCUAUCAGUGCCACAUAGAAACAGCUGAAGUCAAUCACAGCCCUUUGGGUAUGUGAUUCAACUGAUUUUUUGUUUUUCCGAGUAAGGGCUAACUCAUCCCAAGGACAAAGAUCAACUAUUUCUGUGGCCCUGAGCCGGUUAAGAGCUUGACUUAAGAAGCACGGCCAGCCUUGGACUCUACAUGAUACUUCCACAUCAAGGCCUUGUCUGAGUAACUCACGCAAUGCCGCUAUUGCUCCUCGUCUCCUUUCAGCAUUUUCAGGAGAAUGAGGCAUACCUAAUAUCUCCAGUGUGCAAGCAGGCGCAAGCUCCUCCAGGGAUUCUUCUAUCUGAAAGUCAUAUCAAACAAUAUUUUACAGCAAGUAGGCAAGAUGUUUAACAAACACUAGUAUGCAUUACCUCAGCCAGCAAACCCAUCUUCCCGAGAGACGUCUUACUCCUAAGUAGACACUGAGCACGAGCAAGCGCUUCAAAUCCAAGGGACACUUUAUUGUUCUCAAAACCGAUCUUUGCUAUCGCACACUUCAAUAAAGCAACAGAAAUUAGAAACACAUCAUACAAAGUAUUGCUACUUAAUAGAACAGUGGACUCCAAAAGUUGUUUACUUCUGCCAUUGCCAUUGAGAGAAGUAUGUCAUGGAUAUAUGGCUUAGCAUCCGGUUUCUUGAUCACCAUUCUGCCAAUUUCAAGUACUAACUUCUCUUCGCCAACCUACACAAUGAGAUAUAAAAGUACCUAAGAUUCAUAUAACGGAACAUUUGUCUGACUACAGUGCAAUUAUGCAAAGCCAGGAAGCACUUAAGUUAAUAUCUAGCAGCUAUACCCCAGCCAGCACAAAGAAAACACCAAAUCAUAUAAAAGUGUUAAAACCUCUUGAAGAAGGCAAAGAGCACCAGGUAGCCACGUCCAUGGAAUGUAAAGAGAAGACUUUGGACGGAUCUUCUCCCGCACAUUUCCAGCAUAUUCGUCUUCGAAAAGAAGUUUAGCCCUCACAUCCUCUAGAAGAUCCUGCAUAUUAGUGUAGAGCACAAUUAGGGAAAAGAAAGCCCAGAAAGAUUCGGAACCUCCUCACAGAACAACGAACUAAGCGCACAUCUACCUCGCGACACUUCUUGACAUUCGUUGUAUAUCCUUCCUCUAUCUCCGCUCCUUUCAAUUGGUUCAUCGAUUUAGCUACCUCGUCUUUCUCGGCUUGAUCGCUUAGGCCAAGCAGCUACAGGUCAGCAAUUUACCAUGAAUUCAGUAACAUGUACUUCCGAAGUUCAGUAUAGCUGUGAUUUUCCAUGAAUUAUCAGCCCACUGCUGCUUUCAAGGCAUUUCUACAUUACCUCACAACUUCUAACCAAUACGGAGGUCAAGAAAACGAUCACGUCGGCUAAAAUUACUCUCUCAUUUCACCUCGCUGCUACAAAAUGUAAACCAACUCGGACUAUACAGAGAGAGAGAGAGGGAGAGAAUCGACCUGAUAGCAGGUGACCGGAAUUUCCAUAGAAGCGGCGGAGGGAACGGCGGCAUUGUCGAUGACGGGAGUGGUGGCGGCGGCGUUGAGCAUCCAUUGGUACAAAGCUUUCCUUCUCCAAACCCUAGAAACGGAAGCAGGAGUGGAGAUGAUCGGAUGGAGGGCGAAAUCGACGAGAAGUUGAUGCGUAGGACGGGCGUUGCGCCGGAGAAGGCGGAAAUGUUUACAGCGACAGCAGCAGCAAGAAGAAGAAGAGGAAGAAGAAGGAAGAAUUGGCGUCAGAUUGAAGUGUGGAACCGCCAUGGUCAGAUUGCUUGGAAGAACUCUACCACCAUUGCAAAAGUAAAGAAGAAAUGUGUGAGAGCUUUGGAACAGUUUCAGAAGAAAAGCAAUAAAUUGCAAUCCGAAUUCCGAAAGAAAGGGAGAGUGAAGGAGAAGGGAUUUUUGCUUUUCUUCAGCCCCGUUGGGUGACGCCGCUUUCCGUGCCGUUGCUUUUUCCGUCUUCCGUUUUCCGUUUCGAAACGCCAGAUAACUUUAUUGGUCACUGAGCUUUAGAGUGUUUCACCCAUCGGUCACUAAAAUUCAAAAACUAUCCAAGCAGUAACUCAACCAUCAAGUUUUAAGCUAGUGGUCAUCUCCGUCAAUAGACAUCCAAUUUUCAUUCAAAAUAGUAUAUGAUAGUGCUAACUUGGCAAAACAACUAAUAAAAGAUAUCACAUCAUAUUCAUUUAUUUUAAAUCACAAAUUUAUACGUGUUGGAAUCAAUCCACACCAUGUUCUUUUCUCUUUAAAUUUAACGACACUAACCCUAACCUCUAUUCAUCCUCACCAUCUCUGAUCUCUCCUUUGUCACUUUCGCCGUCCAUGCAGCUCAUUACCUCUUUCUCAUUCGACAACCAGUGAGUAGAUAAAAAUUUAAAGAUUUUAUUGAUUUUAAAUCAAAAAGAUUAACAGUAAAACUUCUAAAAUCUCCACUCAAAUAUUAAAAUUCCAGUGGUGGUUCAUCAGCAAGAUAUGCCAUAAAGACCGGAAAACGUAUAACAAGAACCAACUUUGUGUUUAUUAUACAAGUUUGUAGUAAUAUUCGAGUCAAAAUUCCUUUAACAAUAAAGAGAAUCUUUAGGAUAAAUCGCUUUCAGUUGUAAUUUUCAUUUUAGAUGAUAGAUAUCGAUGAGAAAAAUACUUAAAAACAUUAAUUUGGCCACAUUCACUUUUCAUUGUUUGAUUGAUUUUUAAUUAAGAUUCUUCAUAUCUUAGCUACAAGAUGUAUGUAUCAUGUAUUAUGAUCAAGCUGUCGUUAUCUACUUAUCUAAGAAAAGAACAAAAAACACCAUCAAUCAGCAAUACAAACUCCAAGCCAAAAGAAGCCUACAAAUCAAGAGAGAGCUAGCUGCCCCCAUCCGCACAAGAGAUGUAGGACCAGAACGUCGGUACAUAUAGCUUGUUUGUUUACUCGUAAAGAAAAAUGAUUCCAUCCUGAGAAAUGAAGAAACUAUUAUUGCUGUACUUUUGUCUCCGACCAGAAACUUUUCAGUUAUUACAAACAAAAACUAGACAGCAGCCUGAAGAGUGAAGGCCCCAUGGAAAUGACCUUCCAGCGCAGAGAACACAGCAAAAUCCUGUGGAGGAGGAUAACUGGCCUUACGACCAAACUGCCAAGGUGACAGCGCAAAUGUUCAAUUGGAUCAUCAAGAGAUCUAAAAGUAAUUCAUACACAUGCAAACUAACCGUCAACACAUGACAAUUAUCAUUAUUCCAAAGCUUUAACUGAAACUAGAAAAAAAGUAGAAUUAUUCUUCAAUCUUCACCCAACUGUUGUUACACUACAACCAUGGCUAUCUGCUCCACAGCGUUGACUAAUUCUUGGGCGAGGUCAUCUUUCUUGCUUCCUACAACGCCAUUCUCGUCAUAGCUUGAGAUCUGAGGUUGUGGCAUGAUGUCCUUUACGAAUUUGUUUUGCAUCUUUUCUCCAUAGUUGGAAAUUUGAGGUUGCGACCUCAAAUCCUUUGCAAAUUUAUUCGGUAUAGCAUCAUCGUCGUAGUUGGAGAUUUGAGGUUGUGACUCGAUGUCUCUGGCGAAUCUCCCAUAAGUACCUUCUUCAACCUUGCUUAGCUUGAUACCGUUGUCAUCAUAGCUCGAAAUUUGAGGUUGUGGCAUGAUGUCCUUCGUGAAUUUGUGCUGAGCUCCAUAGCUAGAGAUUUGAGGUUGAGACUUGAUGUCCUUCACUGUUGGGUUGGUCCAACUACAUAUGGUGGUUGGAUUAACCGGUUUUUUAAGAAUGAGUGAUAAUUUGUUUGGUUGUGUUAUCUUGAACUUAUUGGGAAGUUCAAAAGUAGUAUUCUAGAAAUCUCUAUUAUUAAAUAGAGAGAUUAUUUAUCUCUGAAAUUACAGAGAAGAAAGUGAAGCGUGAGUGAGAGAGCAAAAGAAGAGAGGAGAAGGAAAAAUAAGGUUGCUGGAAAGUUUUCGUUUUCAGGCGGAUCAGUCUGUUCAAAAGAGCAUUCCGGAGAAACACGCCGUUGGAUCGUCCUGAAAUUUGUUGUGCUUGUUCAGGACGUUUUGGGCUUCAAUCUGGCCGGAGGGAUCGUUGUUCUGAUCUCUGGUGUGUCGGGAAUCGCUGCUGGACAGAGGGUCAAUAAAUCUGUUUGGCCUCUGGAAUUUUUUCUCUUCAUCUUGUCGAGUUGCUCUUGUUAUCCAUCGCAUUGGUGAGUAUCCAUUGUGGUGUAUUGGUGAUCCAAGAAGGUUGUUCUUGAGGUAAUUUGUAAUCCUCUAGCUAUCCUAGAGAAGACUUGUAAUCCCACCAAAGUAUAGUGGAGUUGUUGCUUGGACUACGGUCCCGUGGUUUCUCAACAUUCACAAAGUUUUUUGACGUAGUAUCAUCAUCAUAACUGGAGAUCUGAGGUUGUGACUCGAUGUCUCUGGCGAAUCUCCCGGUACCUUCUUCAACCAUGCUUAGCUUGAUACCAUUGUCAUCGUAGCUCGAAAUUUGAGGUUGCGGCAUGAUAUCAUUCAUGAAUUUGUGCUCGGGUCCGUACCUAGAGAUUUGAGGCUGCGACUUGAAGUCCUUCACGAACUUCUUUGAUGUAGCGUCACCAUCAUAGCUAGAGAUCUGAGGUUGCGACUUUACGUCCUUCACAAACUUAUUUAAUGUAGCAUCACCACCAUAAUUAGAGAUUUGAGGUUGUGACCGGACAACUCUAACGAAUCUCCCUGUAUCAGUACCUCUCAGUUGAUGCCUGAUACCUUGUUCAACCUUGCUCCGCUCGACACCGUUGCCAUCAUAACUCGAAAUUUGAGGUUGUGGCAUGACAUCUCUCACAAACUUACUAGAUGCAUGAUUAACUCCGUAGCUAGAGAUUUGAGGUUGCGACUCGAUAUCCUUCACCAACUUUUUUAAUGUAGCAUCAUCAUCAUCAUAGCUAGAGAUUUGAGGUUGUGGCAGAACAUCUCUUGUGAAUUUCAUCUCAUGGCUUUUAGUACUGAUAGAUUUGUGAUCAGCAUCCCCUGCCUCCUCGGCAUCACAAUGAACUCCGGUGUGGUCGGAGUUCGAUGGUAGUACGGUGGGCUCCUCGACUACUAUCAGGGAUUCGAUAGCUUCAGGAAAAGGCUGGUCUUUCAUCACGGCUCCCCAGUACUCCCCGGCUCGAUCUUUCCUCGCAUUACUGCAGUUGCCAGCUACCUGCAACAUUAUUCAACAGUUACAUUAUAAACGUUACAAGAAAGCAAAAGCAGAGGAAGAACAGAAGGGUACGUACCAGGAAGAGUAGGGCGAGAGUAGUUAAGAAAGCAGCCAACUGAGAUGCCAUAUUUUUAGUUAUUUAGUUCAAUGAAUUGGAAUAUUGGAUUGGAUCCUCUGAGAUGAUUUAGGUGCAGGGUAUUUUAUAGGCUGGAGAAAAUAGAACCAUGUCACGGUUUCCAAAUUCCACCUACUACUCCACCUAUUUGUCCAACGUUUUAAGUGGACACAAACUCUGCGCAAUGUACUAAGCCGGACAUCAUCAACUCGAGUUGUGUGAUCGCGAGUGUUUGAAGUGCCAUUACAUCAUGAGCUAAUCCAUUUUAUUGUGGGGCUGAGAGGAUUAUUAAUUCUAUUAACUUUUGAUGUUAUGAGGAGAAUUCAAAAUCCUUAAGGACAAUUAAAUUUUUUAAAUUAAUUAGCUCGGAUUUAUCGUACUCUUCUUUCACCUCGCACGUUGAUGUUCUUGUUCAUGCAUGUUUAUCUUUUACAACAAUGUAUAUGGACAUAACAUAAUUUUUUUCCCCUGGUGGAUAAUUCCUUGUUGUCAUCAUAGAAUAAAAAGAUUCGGGUGUGAUUCUUAAUUAAAACAUUAAAAAGCUGGGGUGAUACUGUUUAUUAUUGUUAUUUUUAAAUAUUAUGUUUUUCGUUUUAGUUUUAUUUUUUUAGUGUUUAGGUACUUUUUAAAUUAUUAUUUGUCGGUGCAGUUACAGGUAUAAUUGAAAAUCGCUUGAAAACUAACGGAUGUGGAUAUGGUGUGACAUUUACUAUCCGAAAGUUAUAUACGACAAGUAUUACCCUAACCGGAAACUUCAACGCGUGGUUAAUGGAUAUCUCAACUAUCUGANNNNNNNNNNNNNNNNNNNNNNNNNNNNNNNNNNNNNNNNNNNNNNNNNNNNNNNNNNNNNNNNNNNNNNNNNNNNNNNNNNNNNNNNNNNNNNNNNNNNNNNNNNNNNNNNNNNNNNNNNNUUUUUUUUUUUUUUUUUCGGGCGGUAUUACCCGAACCUGAAACUAAAAAUGAUGGGUAACGAAUAUCAACUAUCCAAACCUGACCAUUGUCAAGUUUACCUCAAUUUUAAUUUUCCCUAUAAAUCUCUUUAUACAAUUUUUAGAAUAAAAUUUUCUAUCAACAUUAAUUUUUUUAGUUGAAUAACAUCAAUAUUGAUAUANNNNNNNNNNNNNNNNNNNNNNNNNNNNNNNNNNNNNNNNNNNNNNNNNNNNNNNNNNGAAAUAACAUCAAUAUUGAUAUAUUUUAUUGAAAUAUAUAUGUAAAUUUUACAAUGAUGUACUGUGAUAUCAACAGUCUUGGGCACCAAUUAAGUAUUCGAUCAUAAUCUCAACAGAUAUAUUAAGUUUAUAAUUAUUAUUAAUGUAUUAAGUUAGAGAAAUCAAUUUUAAGACCCGUAGAUAUAAGUACUCUUCACUUUUUUCUAAUUGUUUUUACGAGCACUUUUUUCUAUUUGCUACAAUCAUAUAUUUACAUAAUUUUGCUUCAUCUUUAUAUGCAUAAAUUUAUUAAUUUUUUAAAUCCAUACUACUUUUAUUUACCUUCUUAUAUGUAUAAUUAUGUAGUUAUUUAUUAUUUUAUGUAUGGGUGCUCAAUGUCAUACCAACUUCAAUUUAAAAUUACGCGACAUCGUACAACCAUCUAAGCUAGUUAAUAUGAAAAAGGUAAUCACUAUAAUCAUGCAAAAUUACAUGCUAUAACUUAAAACGUCGGUAUGUUAUCGAAACUCGUAUAUAUUUAUGCUAGUAAUUAAUCUUACAACGUUGCUACAGAUAGAGCAUUUCACCUUGUCGUGUUGUUGUCACGUUUAACACAUACGUCUUUAAUUUGUGUCCUUGUUAAUGUUUCUUUCUAUUGUACGACCACGUUCUUAAAUGUCUCAUACAAAGGACGAAAGAGAAUUGAGCAUUUGGUGCCUUGGUGGUGGUGAUGAACGUAUGAUCAAACAACAGGACUGCACGUGGAAUGUAAUAGACAUAAAAUCAGUCCGUCUAUUUUCCCGAUCAGACAUAAGUUAGUUACCUCAAAUAACGGAAGCACGUUAUCAUAAAGGUCACAUCGUCCACCCACCAUGUAACAAGCCUAGAUGCACAAUCCAUGACCGCCUGUCCCCAACAAGUCCAUCUUCUCCUUCUCUCGCCGACCUUGAUCAGAUGUUUGUUUGAAAAUUGGUUGGGUAGUCGGGGUGUGGAUAACGAGGCCACCCUGCCAUUUAACAAAAUUGGCAAUUUGGGUGAGAUAACCUGCGUAAGUACUCGCUAAAACGCUCUUAACUCUGGAGCUUUGAGGACGACUAAGUAAAUUAUAGACUACCCGGCCAGGUGGAUUAGGUGCAGCUUCAACUACAAGUUCCGCUAAGAUCCUCCCACUUUUGUCAGUAUACGAUCACUUUGGAAGCAGCUCUUUUUUGUAUUUCUUAAUAAAUAAAGAAUAGUUUAUACAUGGCCUAUACAUUGUAAACUAUGUAUAUUGAGUUAUGUAAUUGUAUAAAUUUUAAUAUUAUGGUGUUAUUUUUUAUUUUGUUUAGAGUUAAAUUUUUUAUUAUAUAAUUUUUAUUUUGGGUAUAAACAAAAUACUUUUUUAGCCAUUUUUCUGGCCGCUCUAGAACUGGGUUGAAUGUUGUUUUUACUUAUUUAUAAGUAUGAAAAAAAAUUCACCUCAUAAUUAAUUUUUGGUAUGGAAAGGUUUAAUAACAUCCAAUAUAUUACUUUUCAAUCAAAAUUGAAAUGUAGAGUACAGACUGUAUUUGAAGAACACCAACUAUAUAUAAACCAGCAGCAAGAUAAAAGUAAUUAAGUAGAACAACCCAUUAAUUUAACAAGAUUUUCAUCACUACAUAUAAAAAUUUUGGUGGCAUUAAUUAGCUCUUAUUCCCAUACAUAAUUGAUAUAUAGUAUACCAAUCAAUUUAUAACCAUAUGUGUAAUUAAGUAACACUAGCUACCUAGCUAGCUAUAAAUGUUACACGUAUACCUAUACGUAACCCCCCAUGCAUGCAAAAAUCAAAUUAAGCAUUGUUAGGAGCCUUGACGAACUUAACAACAAACGGCUGAUCAUCAGUAGUAAGAGCAAGCCUCUUCUUGCCAUCUUCAUCCUCAUAAACCCCAACAUCCUUACACUGGACUUUACACGACUUGCACACAGAAGGACAAUACACAAGCUUGUAGUUCCCGCCGUAUUUCGCAAUCUUAAACCAGUUCUCCACCGUCCUGGGCCCGGGCUUCCCUUCGAUCCCACCCGUCCCUACGAACCACUGCUUGACGUCGUCGUCGUAGCUCUCCACCUUCCACACCGUGGCCUCGUCACAAGCAGUCUCGGUGGUGAACUCGAUGUUGAGGUCGGUGGCCGUUUGAACGGUGUAGCCCGGCUUGGCGGAGUUGACGGGAAGGAAAACUACUGGGAGACCCUUGGACAGCUCGUAGUCGUCUUGGAAUACGGAGAGCGGGCAUUUCUUGGUCUUGGUUCGGUCUAGAGCCACUCCUCCGCCGUUUCCGGAGACGGAUGGGAGGAUGAAGUACUUGAGACCCGACCGGAGGGGAGUUCCGUCCACGUCGGUGACGGGGACUGGAGAUGCGGCGGAUGAAACGGGGAGUUUUGUGGUGAAGGUGGCUAGGACUAUGAUGAAUGAAGAUAGUAGUAGCAUUGUCGCCUUCAUUGCUCGUUAAUUUCUCUUUGGUUUGUUUCUUGGUUGAGGGUUUGAGUUGUGAGAUGUUCAGUGAAGGGAGUUCGUGAUAUUUAUAGGGGAUUACAUUAGUCGCCUAUGUGGGAAAUUGCACGGUUUAGUCCAAUUGGUUGGAAUUGGACCAAUAAAGAUUGGUAAUUAAAGACUAAUUAGUGAACUAGCUAUAGAUAGGGUUUUUCUUUUGGUUGGCCCAAUUCCAUUAUUAAUAUAUUUUUAGUGCGAUUUAAGCAGUAUUAUGAGAAGACCAAUCUAAUUUUUAAUUAUUUUGGUUGGUUUGGUUAUGAAAAAAAUCCAAGUCAAAGUUGUUCAUAGCUAAAAGAGUCAAAAGUCCAAACCGAAUUGGGGUAGAGUCAUAUAUUGAACGAGUGUUAUUCUCCCAACCUUGUUUUUUUGAGCGCAUAUAACUCCCCUUCACCGUUGGAUUAAUGUCAUGAUGCUUGAUCUGUCUGUUUCGAUCAAAACCCAUCAAAAUGGUGGUAGAUACAUCCUGGAGUUGUCAUCAUCCUAAGCUACCUUUAAUUCAAAGAAAUAUUACCUAGUAGCAUUCAUUACUAAUAUAUAUGAGGCCGUAAGUUUUUGUAAAAUGUUGGAUCAAGUUUGAACGAUUAAAGUUGAGCACAUUUAUCGAAAAAUACAACAAAGUAACAUAUUACCUUGCAAGCAUUGGCUAAUUUCAGCCCAUUGGUGUUCAUAUUCGUACUUUCUAACCUAUUUUAUCACAUUUUAAUGUAUAUUUCGAUAUUUUUAAAUCCAAUUUUAUUCUGAAUGAAAGAUAUUUAACGGACUAAUCUAAUCUCCUGACAUGUUGUGGGCCGAACAAGAAUUGUGAUAUUAUUUUAUGGGCCAUUUACAUAUUUGUUUGGCAGCCCAUGUACACUUCUUUCGGCUAUAAAUCAAUGGUCCAGCUUAAAUAGGCCUUCUCCACUAUGUGCGUGCAAAUCAUAUGUGUAAGCCCAAUAUGUACUGGAUGUAUACUCGUAUAUACUAAGUCCAAAUUUCCAGGAAAAAAGUAUAAACUAGUCGGCCACAUGAGAAUAUAUUAUGGACCAAAAGGAUCAAAAAAGAAUCUGACGUGGAAAUCGUGGACCCCAUCCGCGCCGAUUCCGGGUCAUACAUCAAACCUCUCAAAUUUGCCAUUUGGUCCUCUCUAUUCCUUUGUGCCGACAUUUAAUGGGCUGCCGGAUAAUCUUUUGAUAUUCUUUAAUUUCCGUGUUGUAAUUUUGUUCCACUGAAAGAUCUUCUUUAAUAUUCAUUUCUGGGGGUUUUUAGACAGGCCUGCAAUUUCAACGACAAAAAAUGCGCUGGUGAUCAUUCGGGGCGUUUUCUAUUCUUCUGCGUGAUCAACGCCAAUCCUCAUUCGCCUAUCCGCGGGAGAAACAAAGUUCCACAGGAUUCUGAUUAUCAGGUAAUUUCUUCUACCACUCUAGCUUCUUUCGGUGUUGUGUAGAAAUUGGCUUCUUACUGUAGAGGAUGACAUAGUAGAAUUGCUAACUCCCUUUUUGGGGGUUUCCACUGCUCCGUUACUCUUUGAUAUUUGCGGUGUUGACAGUUGACCGUGGAAUUUUGGCGUUGAAGUUUUCCUGCUCAAGAAAGGCCUGCUAUGUCUGGUCCGCUCGAUCGGUUCGCAAGGCCUUGUAAGUCAUUUGCUUCUCCGCUUCCUCUUGCUAUUAUGGCUCUUUUGGCUUGCUUAUGGUCCAGAAGUUAUGGUAGUUAGUCUUUUUUUUUUAACAUUUUACUACUUGUGAGCUAGGGUGUUGACCUGUUUGUCAGUCUGUCAGUUAGGGUGUAGGUUGUUGCCUAUUUUUGCUGAUACAGUCUGAUUUUUUUAUGUACUGAGUUUUGAUUAUCUGUUUUGAACAAUUUGUUGCUACCAUUUGGCUUGCAUUGUUCAAUGUGAUGAACAUUAUGCUCUUGGCAGGCUUUGAGGGGUUUUCAGGCGGAGAUGAAAGCAGAGAAGAGAGGAGAGAGAGGCGAGAGAGGAAAUCUGAUUUUGAGAACUCUGAGGAUGAAAGGAGAACGAGGAUUGGCUCACUGAAGAAGAAGGCCCUUAAUGCGUCUACCAAGUUCAAGCAUUCGCUUAAGAAAAAAAGUAGUAGACGGAAGAGUGCUGAUGGCAGGAUUAGUUCUGUUUCCAUUGAAGAUGUGCGCGACCUUGAGGAAAUGCAGGCUGUCGAUGCAUUUCGUCAGUCGCUGAUCAUGGAUGAAUUGCUUCCUGAAAGACAUGACGAUUAUUACAUGAUGUUAAGGUGAGCUGGCCUCUUCUCAGUUGCUUCCAUAUGUCAUGGUAACUGUAAGUUUGUGUUCCGAUAGCGCCUCAUCAGUUUAGCAGUUUAAGAGCCAAUGGUAUUUGAGCAUCGGAUUGACUUUUUUUUCUUCUUAUAAUGUUAUGUCUGAUUAUCUAUGCAUCCAAUGGAUUAAUGUGCUUGCAUUGUCAUGUUAUAUUCUUUCUUUGAAGAUACUGGUACCAUCUGCAUUCAACUUUGUUGUCAGCUUCUGUUGCUUGUUUAUGCUACUCUGUUUUCUCUAUAAUAUGGCAUUGAUAAGCUCGAUACCACUUGUUGAUUAUGGUUGUAAAUGCUGACUUUAUGUGUUUCAGAUUCUUGAAAGCCAGAAAAUUUGAUGUUGAGAAAGCAAAGCACAUGUGGGCUGAUAUGAUUCAAUGGAGGAAAGAAUUUGGAACGGAUACUAUCACAGAGGUAAUUUGGUUUGCUGGUAUUCAUGUAUUUUUAACCUGUUAACAAUUCAGCGUUGAUUCACUUGUUUCCAUUUGUCUUUCUUGUACUAGGAGUUUGAGUUUCCAGAACAAAAUGAAGUUUUGAAAUAUUACCCUAAUUUCUAUCAUGGCGUGGACAAAGAAGGGAGACCUGUCUAUAUGGAAAGAUUGGGAAAAGUUGAUCCACACAAGCUAAUGCAAGUUACAGACAUUGACCGCUAUGUAAAAUACCAUGUGCGUGAAUUUGAGAAAAGCUUUCUGGUCAAGUUUCCUGCUUGCAGUAUUGCUGCAAAGAGGCAUAUAGAUUCAAGCACAACAAUUUUAGAUGUUCAAGGAGUGGUAUGUUCCUUAGAACCUGCAAUGUGUUGGUGUAGUUCCCAAAUAUGUAAUGGAAUUCACGUUAUAUGUAUCCUUCUUCAUUUUCAGGGACUAAAGAACUUUACCAAGUCAGCUCGGGAACUAGUUAUGCGGCUGCAGAAAAUUGAUGGUGACAAUUACCCUGAGGUAAGAUAUUUUUCUUAUUAAUUCCUUACUGCUAUAGUGUUUUUUUCUCUUUUUGUUAAGAUUCUGGACUUUGUUCGUCAAAUUUAAUAUUUAUUCUCAAUUAUGCAGACUCUGCAUGAAAUGUAUAUCAUCAAUGCUGGUCCUGGAUUUAGGCUUUUGUGGAAUACCAUAAAGUCAUUUCUAGAUCCUAGAACGACCUCAAAGAUCCAUGUAUGCUCAUACUUGUGUUACAAUAUGUUUAGAUGCUCGGUUGCUGAACCAUCUAAUGAAAAAAAUUCUGUUUUGGUGAAAAAUUUAGGUUAUUGGAAACAAGUACCAGAGUAAAUUGCUUGAGGUGAUUGAUGCCAGGUAACCACGUCUUCACACUAUUAAUUAAUUUUUGGUUUGUUGAGUAUUUUUGGCUUCACCUCAUUAAUUAUUCUGAGGACAUUUUGGCACUUCUAUUAAGAAACUGCUAUCAACACUAACGUUCUCUUAUAUAAUCCAUCUGCAGUGAAUUGCCGGAAUUUAUGGGUGGUAGUUGUACAUGUGCUGAUCAGGGAGGUUGUCUUCGCUCUGAUAAAGGACCAUGGAGGAAUCAAGAUAUAUUGAAGGUAUGGGGUUUCUGUGAUUCUUAGUUGCUUAAAUUCGUAUUAUUAAAACUGAUGCAUGAGUUUUAGGGAGGUACCAUAUGCUACAUUUCUGCAGAUGGUUCUUGAUGGUGGAGCACGACGCUCUAGGCAAGUUGUAAAAAUUCUAAACAACGAGGGUAAGGUCAUUACCUAUGCAAAGCCUCCCUAUUACCCAAUGGUAAGACAUCCACAAUAUCAUUUGUUUUAUGUAAUUAUUUGAAAUAUUCCUAGAUUGCCUCAACCAUUCUGAAACAGGUGAAAGGAAGUGACUCUUCUGCUGCUGAGUCUGGGUCAGAAGCUGAAGAUAUUUCUUCCCCCAAGGCACUUAAGGCCUACUCACAGCUGCGCUUGACUCCUGUCCGUGAAGAAGUAAGUUUUGGCUCUAAAUAAUUAUUACGUUGCACUUGAGUUGGGCACUUGGCAUUUAUUUUCUCGAGAAAACUGGGGGUUGGAUCAAGUAAAUUGUAUCUCCUUUCUGGUGCGUAGUAAAUCAACUUCAUGGAUCCAUUUCAGACCCUUCCAUGAAUGAUCGUAGCUGUGAAGAAGACCCCAUGCUUACCACUUAUCUUGGUUAUUAAUUUGAUUGCUUUCUGGGGUUUUGGAUUUCUAAGUUUCACUUCACUUUUUUUCUCUUGUAUGUUGAAUACAAAGGCAAAGAUAAUGGGCAAGGCAAAUCAUCCUAGUAGCUUUCCUGGGUUUGAUGAAUACAUUCCCAUCGUUGACAAAGCAGUUGACUCUACUUGGAGUGAGCAAGCAGUUUUGAAGAAGCUCGAAGUUUCCAAAGGUUAGUGAGGGAACUUUUGUGUAUAUUGCUUGUUGUUGCGUGUUCUGUUCUACAAUCAACUUGUGUAGUUUUUGCUAACUAUUAAAUAUUAAUGUAGCAUCAAGUUGGUUUUCCUGGCUUUUAACUAUAUAGAGCAUUAAACUCACAUAUUCCUGGUACCAACAAGUUUUUUAUGAUCUUAAUGUCACUGCCAGUUAAAAUUGAUGGUUAAUUAAUGGUUGGUGCUGCACAGAAAGUCGGUCUGAUUUAUUUGUGUUUUUUUCCUCGAAACUAUUUAUUUGUGUUUUCUUGAUUGAAAUCUUUUCUUUGAUUGAAAUUACAUUCUAUCAGUAAGCUAGCAUACCAGUGUCUCAUUUUCUAUAGUUGCAUAUUUGCUAUGCACUCGCGGUUCUUUUAUAUUCAGCUGUGUGUUACUCUUGGGAUUAAUUCAGCUAAAAGAAGUGAUAUCUGCUUCUAUUGCAGCAACUGUUCCGCAGGCUCCAAAGACUUCAGAAGCUAUCCAUGUUCGUAUUUGGUUAGCAGUUCUUGCUCUGUUCAUGACGCUUGUAAAUCUUGUCCAGUCACUGCCAUCCCGUAUGAACAAGACGUGUUUGGAGGUGAUGCCAGACAACAAUGGAGCUUCA